GAUGAACGCUGGCGGCGUGCCUAAUACAUGCAAGUCGAGCGAACAGACGAGGAGCUUGCUCCUCUGCCGUUAGCGGCGGACGGGUGAGUAACACGUGGAUAACCUACCUAUAAGACUUGGAUAACUUCGGGAAACCGGAGCUAAUACCGGCUCAUAUAUUUAACCGCAUGGUUCAAUAGUUCAAGACGGUUUUGCUGUCUCUUUUAGAUGGAUCCGCGCCGCAUUAGCUAGUUGGUAAGGUAACGGCUUACCAAGGCGACGAUGCGUAGCCGACCUGAGAGGGUGAUCAGCCACACUGGAACUGAGACACGGUCCAGACUCCUACGGGAGGCAGCAGUAGGGAAUAUUGCGCAAUGGGCGAAAGCCUGACGGAGCAACGCCGCGUGAGUGAUGAAGGUCUUCGGAUCGUAAAACUCUGUUAUUAGGGAAGAAAAAAUGUGUAAGUAACUAUGCACGUCUUGACGGUACCUAAUCAGAAAGCCACGGCUAACUACGUG
rnacentral:rRNA from 1 species